rnacentral:rRNA from 1 species
AGAGUUUGAUCCUGGCUCAGAAUCAACGCUGGCGGCGUGCCUCAGACAUGCAAGUCGAACGCGAAAGUCCCCUUCGGGGGACAAGUAGAGUGGCGUCCGGGUGAGUAACACGUAGGUAAUCUACCUUCGGGUGGGGAAUAACGCAGGGAAACUUGCGCUAAUACCGCAUAAUGCAGCGGCACCACAUGGUGACAGUUGUUAAAGCGGGGGAUUUUCGAACCUCGCGCCUGAAGAGGAGCCUGCGGCAGAUUAGCUAGUUGGUAGGGUAACGGCUUACCAAGGCGACGAUCUGUAGCCGGCCUGAGAGGGCGGUCGGCCACACUGACACUGACAUACGGGUCAGACUCCUACGGGAGGCAGCAGUCGGGAAUUUUGGGCAAUGGGCGAAAGCCUGACCCAGCAACGCCGCGUGAAGGAUGAAAUCCUUCGGGAUGUAAACUUCGCAAGAAUAGGAAGAAUGAACGAGUACUAAUACUGCUCGUGAUGACGGUACUAUUUGUAAGCUCCGGCUAACUCCGUGCCAGCAGCCGCGGUAAUACGGGGGGAGCAAGCGUUGUUCGGAUUUACUGGGCGUAAAGGGCGCGUAGGCGGCCAGCGCAAGUCAGUUGUGAAAUCUCCGGGCUUAACUCGGAACGGUCAACUGAUACUGCGCGGCUAGAGUGCGGAAGGGGCAACUGGAAUUCUCGGUGUAGCGGUGAAAUGCGUAUAUAUCGAGAGGAACACCUGCGGCAAAUGCUGGUUGCUACCCCGACACUAACACUUAUGCUCGAAAGCCAAGGGAGCGUACUGGGAUUAGAUACCCCGGGUAGUCCUGGCCUUAAACGAUCCCAUGCUUGUUGUCUGGA